rnacentral:rRNA from 1 species
UACGGAGGCCCCAAGCGUUUUUCGGAAUUACUGGGCGUAAAGCGAAUGUAGGUGGCGAAGUAAGUCAGAUGUGAAAGCCCUGGGCUUAACCCAGGAAGUGCAUUUGAUACUGCUUUGCUAGAGUGCGAUAGAGGGAAGUGGAAUUCCUGGUGUAGGGGUGAAAUCCGUAGAUAUCAGGAGGAAUACCAAUGGUGUAGACAGUUUCCUGGAUCGUUACUGACACUCAGAUUCGAAAGCGUGGGGAGCAAACAGG